GACGAACGCUGGCGGCGUGCCUAACACAUGCAAGUCGAGCGGUUCUUAAGCUGUAGUUUACUAUAGCUUAAGAAUAGCGGCGAACGGGUGAGUAACACGUGGGCAACCUGUCCGAAAGAUCGGGAUAACAGUCCGAAAGGGCUGCUAAUACCGAAUACGCUUACCGGGUCGCAUGAUCCGGUAAGGAAAGGUCGGCAACUUCCGCUUUCGGGUGGGCCCCGCGUCCCAUUAGCUAGUUGGUAGGGUAACGGCCUACCAAGGCAACGAUGGGUAGCUGGUCUGAGAGGAUGGUCAGCCACACUGGGACUGAGACACGGCCCAGACUCCUACGGGAGGGCAGCAGUGGGGAAUCUUGCGCAAUGGGCGAAGCCUGACGCAGCGACGCCGCGUGAGCGAGGAAGGCCUUCGGGUCGUAAGCUCUGUCAGAGGGGACGAGUAAUGACGGUACCCUCAGAGGAAGCCCGGCUAACUACGUG
rnacentral:rRNA from 1 species